AGAGUUUGAUCAUGGCUCAGGACGAACGCUGGCGGCGUGCCUAAUACAUGCAAGUCGAACGCUUUUUCUUUCACCGGAGCUUGCUCCACCGAAAGAAAAAGAGUGGCGAACGGGUGAGUAACACGUGGGUAACCUGCCCAUCAGAAGGGGAUAACACUUGGAAACAGGUGCUAAUACCGUAUAACACUAUUUUCCGCAUGGGAGAAAGUUGAAAGGCGCUUUUGCGUCACUGAUGGAUGGACCCGCGGUGCAUUAGCUAGUUGGUGAGGUAACGGCUCACCAAGGCAACGAUGCAUAGCCGACCUGAGAGGGUGAUCGGCCACACUGGGACUGAGACACGGCCCAGACUCCUACGGGAGGCAGCAGUAGGGAAUCUUCGGCAACGGACGAAAGUCUGACCGAGCAACGCCGCGUGAGUGAAGAAGGUUUUCGGAUCGUAAAACUCUGUUGUUAGAGAAGAACAAGGAUGAGAGUAAAAUGUUCAUCCCUUGACGGUAUCUAACCAGAAAGCCACGGCUAACUACGUGCCAGCAGCCGCGGUAAUACGUAGGUGGCAAGCGUUGUCCGGAUUUAUUGGGCGUAAAGCGAGCGCAGGCGGUUUCUUAAGUCUGAUGUGAAAGCCCCCGGCUCAACCGGGGAGGGUCAUUGGAAACUGGGAGACUUGAGUGCAGAAGAGGAGAGUGGAAUUCCAUGUGUAGCGGUGAAAUGCGUAGAUAUAUGGAGGAACACCAGUGGCGAAGGCGGCUCUCUGGUCUGUAACUGACGCUGAGGCUCGAAAGCGUGGGGAGCGAACAGGAUUAGAUACCCUGGUAGUCCACGCCGUAAACGAUGAGUGCUAAGUGUUGGAGG
rnacentral:rRNA from 1 species